rnacentral:misc_RNA from 1 species
GACCUUGCCUGCUGCUUUGGUAGAUCGGUUAUAGCAUUCCUGGGCUGAUUUCUGGCUCCCUCUUAUCACGGCUAUUCCACCUGAGGCUGAAAGUUUCAAACACAAACAAUUCAUGUUAAUCAAGAUAUUAUUACCGUUUAAAAUUUGUCAGCCCAAAAUGGCAUCGUAGGAAAGUGGGAUGUCCACUACUGCGAACUCCGCAUAUAUUGUACGCUUAUGGACUUUGUCGCCUAAGAUUACUGUUAAAUUCAUGGUUUCAGCUGCUGGCAGGGUCUUGUCUUCUAGUCCGACCAAGAGGAACAUUACUUUGGUGAGAUUUGCUUUCUUCAAUCCUAACUUCUCGUAAACUUCCAGUGUGAUCAGGUUGACUGAGCUGCCUGUAUCGAUGAUAACUCUUUGUACUAUGUACCCAUUCAACAAAAUAUUAAUCCUAGAAUGUCAGAAUGAGG